rnacentral:rRNA from 1 species
AGGACGAACGCUGGCGGCGUGCUUAACACAUGCAAGUCGAGCGGAAAGGCCACUUCGGUGGUACUCGAGCGGCGAACGGGUGAGUAACACGUGGGUAAUCUGCCCUCGACAUCGGGAUAGCCCGGGGAAACCCGGAUUAAUACCGAAUAGCCCAACAGCUUUUCGGAGCGGUUGGAAAAGGUAGCUUUGGCCUCCGGUCGAGGAGGAGCUCGCGGCGGAUUAGCUUGUUGGUGAGGUAACGGCUCACCAAGGCGUCGAUCCGUAGCUGGUCUGAGAGGACGAUCAGCCACACUGGGACUGAGACACGGCCCAGACUCCUACGGGAGGCAGCAGUGGGGAAUCUUGCGCAAUGGGCGAAAGCCUGACGCAGCGACGCCGCGUGAGGGAAGAAGGCCUCGGGUUGUAACCUCUUUCAGGAGGGACGAAGCCACUCGGGUUAAUAGCCCAGAGGGUGACGGUACCUCCAGAAGAAGCCCGGCUAACUACGUGCCAGCAGCCGC